AGAAAUUCGAUUCCGUAAGUAGCGGCGAGCGAACGCGGAUUAGCCCAAACCAAUAAAGUUUUCUUUAUUGGGGUUGCGGACAUAUCAUAACGAAGAGGUAUCGUAAUUGAAGAGGUUUGGAAAGACCCACCACAGAAGGUAAUAGUCCUGUAUGUUAAACGAGAAGACUUCAGAUAUGAUCCAGAGUACCACGGGACACGUGAAACCCUGUGGGAAGCAGGAGGGACCACCCUCCAAGGCUAAAUACUACCUAGUGACCGAUAGCGUAUAGUACCGUGAGGGAAAGGUGAAAAGAACCCCG
rnacentral:rRNA from 1 species